ACCUAGCAAAGGUCAGGCAAAUCUGGUCUCCAGGACAGACUCUGCUCCCUUUGAAGGAGAGAAGACAAGAAGAAGGCAUAAAGGAAGAAAGCCCCACAGAAAGGCUCAGGACUGUAGCAGCUCCUGGAAGAAAUCUAGCUCGGUGGCCUCAUUAAACAGGGCCAUGCUUUGGGGUGACAACACCUUUAUAAAAAGCAGCAGCUCCUUCCCCACACCUGUGAACAGGGGCAAUGGCAUUGACCUUCCUUUGGAAAAGCACGCAGGGAUUUAAGGACAGAAAGUGCUGCUUCAGCACUACUAUUUUUAUUCAGGAGGAGUGCUUCAGAGGAAGAUUUUUUUUUAAUACUUUUUUUUUUUUUUUCUCCUUUUCUCAUCCAAGUCCACUAAGGGCAUUCAGCCCUCAUCCCUUCUGGGCUGUUUGGCUGCAAAACAGCACAUGCAACUUCUGUGCCUCUGUGUCUCACCUGACAGCGCUUUGAUUUGCGUGAGAACCUGCCUAAGAUGUGGGGUAAUUAAUUAGGCAAUCCCCAGCAGACUUGGUUUAGGCUUUCAGGAUGGUGCAAUAUUGCUUUCCUCUCUUUGAAAGAAGGAGAUCCUUAAAAGUGUUUAAAGAAAUGAGCUGCUCAGCUGGCUCUAGGCAAGGUCUUCUCUGAGUCCUGGCCACUUUUCACUUGGAGAUUUCUUGGUUCUGCCUUUUCUGCCGGGGACAGGGACUGAAACUGAAACACUGCAAGAGAGGUUUCUCCCUUCAGGUUUUCAGUCCUUUUUUGCUGAUUCAAAGGUGCGGGCUGGAUCCUUGACACUCUAAUUCUGAAAUCAAUGGAGCUGGGACGAUUCACUCCGCCUGGGCGCCAGGGAAAUCAGUGGCUUCCAGAUCAGCUCAGCUCCAUUUGGAGAGGAAAAGAAGGGGUUGCUCUUCUACUCUCGGAGCCAGGAAGAGUACCUGGCAUGCAAGAAACCCAUCUGUCCAUCACACAACAUCUCUUAAGGGGAGAGAUCCUGCAGCAGGGACCUCAGCAGCAGUUUAGAGGGUGGUGUACAGGGGGUGUCGUGGACUGUGGGUCUCUCCUUUCCAUCUGUACAGAGUAUUUGGGAAUGGAAGCGGAGAAAAGGGCUGGAAGGGUGAAGGAGGGAUACAGUCCUGAGUGCUCCUAGAUCACUGGUUCAUCUUUUCCCCUGAGUGCGCACUGCAGAAAUGUUUUCUGAGCUUUCUACCUGUGUCCUACAGCUGGGCACCAGCAUACCACUGCAACUUCCCUCUCUCACUGAUUGCACGUGGCUCCUUUAUAAAAUAUCACUUUGUUUCUCUGGGUCUCUGAUUGCUCCAAUAAAUGUUCUCCUUUGCAGGGGAGCCUAAAACA
rnacentral:lncRNA from 1 species